UACGGGGGGGGCAAGCGUUGUUCGGAAUUACUGGGCGUAAAGGGUUCGUAGGUGGCCAACUAAGUCAGACGUGAAAUCCCUCAGCUUAACUGGGGAACUGCGUCUGAUACUGGUGUGGCUUGAGUGCAGGAGAGGAACGCGGAAUUCCAGGUGUAGCGGUGAAAUGCGCAGAUAUCAGGAAGAACACCUAUGGCGAAGGCAGCACUCUGGGACGGUACUGACGCUGAGACGCGAAAGCGUGGGGAGCGAACAGG
rnacentral:rRNA from 1 species